AAAACUUUUUGUCAAAUAAGAUGAAAGUGCUAUGGUGUUUGUUAAACUUUAACGACUCCUUUAACCAAACACCCUCUUAAAAGCUUGCUCAACUGCACUGCCCGAACCACUGAGGCCUUUUUUUUAUCCGGGGAUAAAAGUUUCUUUGUCACGUUAGAUAUUUCAAGACGUCAAAAAGGUGUUUGAUACUAAUAAAAAAUUUAAUUACAUAACUCGUCUGAAAAAUACGACGAAUUUAUUAAGACUAAUUAAUUCGUUUUUAGCAUAUGCAUGUUAUUAUAGUAAUUAUGGCUAAUCAUGGAUUAAUUAGACUUAAAAGAUUCGUCUCGUGGUUACUGUGUAAUUAGUUUUUUAUCUACAUUUAACGUUCUACGUAUAUGUCAAACAUUCCAUGUGACAAGGUAAAAAAGUCUUUGGGUGAGAAAGGGCCUCGAAGUGAAAACUACAGCUGCAUCUCCUUUUCCCACCAGGAAUCAGGCAACCAGCGAUGCCAGAAAUCGACCACAUCUCCAGCUCCGACAGACGUUUUCACUCUACUACCUCUGUAGUCUACGCUAGGCUGUGCUUAGAUGGCUACACAGGUGGUGCAUGGCUGUCGUCAGCUCGUGUUGUGAAAUGUUGGGUUAAGUCCCGCAACGAGCGCAACCCUCAUGUUCUGUUGCCAGCGGGUAAUGCCGGGAACUCGGAACAAACUGCCUCUGUAAAGAGGAGGAAGGUGGGGAUGACGUCAAGUCUUCAUGCCCCUUACACCCUGGGCUGCACACAUGCUACAAUGGCCGGUACAAAGAGCAGCGACACCGCGAGGUAGAGCAAAUCUCAAAAAGCCGGUCUCAGUUCGGAUUGGAGUCUGCAACUCGACUCCAUGAAGUCGGAAUCGCUAGUAAACGCCGGUCAGCAAUACGGCGUUGAAUACGUUCCCGGGCCUUGCACACACCGCCCGUCAAGCCACGAAAGUUGGUUUCUCCCGAAGUCGCCGUGCUAACCGCAAGGAGGCAGGCGCCGAAGGAGCGGUCGAUGAUUGGGACUAAGUCGAACAAGGUAGCCGUACUGGAAGGUGCG
rnacentral:rRNA from 1 species